rnacentral:lncRNA from 1 species
UAAAACAACAAAGGCAAGUGAUUGUCUCUGCUACUGACGUUGUUGACAACAAUGCAUUAUUGGCUAGAUCCAACUUUAAAAAUGAAAAUAUUGAAAAAGAAAAUUCUAAGAAGAAGGAUAUAAAGAGGGAGAUAGAAUUUGUGAACACUGUAAUGUCCAGGUCACCUGAAGGACUCGUGCUUCAAGGUACAUGGUUAUCC